UGUUAAAAUUUUUAUCUAUUUGUAAUGUUAAAAACUGACGUGGCUAAUGAAAUAACUAAAUGAUAAUAUGUGACGUGUCAUAUGUACCUUAUAUUGACAUACAUGGACUAAUUUUAAACGGUAGAUAUGGAUAGAAUUUUUAUCA
rfam:Gossypium raimondii Chr10_contig_236, whole genome shotgun sequence.